rnacentral:tRNA from 1 species
GCCGCACAGGUCGAAUGGUGAGACACCAGGCUUCCACCCUGGCGAACCGGGUUCAAUUCCCGGGUGCGGCU